AGGGUCAUAGCUCAGGGGUAGGGUGCCUGCUUAGCAUGCAGGAGGUCCUGAGUUCAAUCCCCAGUAGCUCCA
rnacentral:tRNA from 1 species